UGGGGAAUAUUGGACAAUGGGCGCAAGCCUGAUCCAGCCAUGCCGCGUGAGUGAUGAAGGCCCUAGGGUUGUAAAGCUCUUUCGACGGGGACGAUAAUGACGGUACCCGUAGAAGAAGCCCCGGCUAACUUCGUGCCAGCAGCCGCGGUAAUACGAAGGGGGCUAGCGUUGUUCGGAAUCACUGGGCGUAAAGCGCACGUAGGCGGAUCGUUAAGUCGAGGGUGAAAUCCCAGGGCUCAACCCUGGAACUGCCUUCGAUACUGGCGAUCUUCGAGUCCGGGAGAGGUGAGUGGAACUCCGAGUGUAGAGGUGAAAUUCGUAGAUAUUCGGAAGAACACCAGUGGCGAAGGCGGCUCACUGGCCCGGUACUGACGCUGAGGUGCGAAAGCGUGGGGAGCAAACAGG
rnacentral:rRNA from 1 species